rnacentral:rRNA from 1 species
CCUACGGGAGGCAGCAGUGAGGAAUAUUGGUCAAUGGACGAGAGUCUGAACCAGCCAAGUAGCGUGCAGGAUGACUGCCCUAUGGGUUGUAAACUUCUUUUAUAUGGGAAUAAAAUGUUCCACGUGUGGGAUUUUGUAUGUACCAUAUGAAUAAGGAUCGGCUAACUCCGUGCCAGCAGCCGCGGUAAUACGGAGGAUCCGAGCGUUAUCCGGAUUUAUUGGGUUUAAAGGGAGCGUAGGUGGAUUGUUAAGUCAGUUGUGAAAGGUCGCGGCUCAACCGUAGAAUUGCAGUUGAAACUGGCAGUCUUGAGUACAGGAGAGGUGGGCGGAAUUCGUGGUGUAGCGGUGAAAUGCUUAGAUAUCACGAAGAACUCCGAUUGCGAAGGCAGCUCACUGGACUGCAACUGACACUGAGGCUCGAAAGUGUGGGUAUCAAACAGGAUUAGAUACCCUUGUAGUC